rnacentral:rRNA from 1 species
GAGUUUGAUCGUGGCUCAGAUUGAACGCUGGCGGCAUGCCUUACACAUGCAAGUCGAACGGUAACAGGUCUUCGGAUGCUGACGAGUGGCGAACGGGUGAGUAAUACAUCGGAACGUGCCCGAUCGUGGGGGAUAACGAAGCGAAAGCUUUGCUAAUACCGCAUAAGAUCUACGGAUGAAAGCAGGGGACCGCAAGGCCUUGCGCGAACGGAGCGGCCGAUGGCAGAUUAGGUAGUUGGUGGGAUAAAAGCUUACCAAGCCGACGAUCUGUAGCUGGUCUGAGAGGACGACCAGCCACACUGGGACUGAGACACGGCCCAGACUCCUACGGGAGGCAGCAGUGGGGAAUUUUGGACAAUGGGCGAAAGCCUGAUCCAGCCAUGCCGCGUGCAGGAUG